UGAUAAAACGUCAAACAAUGUAACUGAUGUAACACCUCGAGCUCUCGAGAUAAACAGUGAAUAAACACUCGUUCUCUUUUCAUCUGGACCACCGACCAAGCUAGACGUCUUUUCUUUUCAAGUGGCGACGAGGGAAAACUUUUACAGUGACUAGUGAAUAAUUAGUAAAAGCUAAAUCCGUUUAAGUAAACGAUUACUGUUUUUGCUAUACUACGGCAACAGAUAGACUUUAUUGCAGUGCUUAAGUGUGUUUGAAGGGUUACCGCAAAGCGGCACUUUUACGAGUACGGGUGUGAUUUUUAUCAACGACAACGGGUACGCAAAAGCACGUCGACGGCAGCUUGUGGUAACGGGAUUAGCCGGCAUUUUGUAAAAGUGCAAGUGAAGCGUUUGCUGAAAAUUCUGUUCGGUGCACGCCAAGGGCAGCAAUCACGGCAUACAAGACGGAAUCUGGCCGUUGCGACGACGGAAACGACGGUAUUAGCUAGCCACACGACGAAAAUUGUACAUCUGUUCGAGAAAUUUCCUGCUGCAACGGCAACGGCGGCAAACAAUAGCGAGAGGUGCGGACUGUAUCUGCAAAUUGGUUUUCAAAGGCGCCGAAUAACCAAGUCAGUGGUAGCUGGUUUUGCUUAACAUCGUACGUUUUUGCGGAGGAGAAAAAAACCGUUGUCGUCGAAAGGUCGGCAGUGGUGGAGUUCCGCGGUAGGAAAUCAGUGUCACGUCGUUUUUCGGAGAACACAGUGUAGGGUAACUGCGACAAUUGUCGGCACGGGCAAAGGCCUAGGCAAAAGCCAAUAGCAUCUGAACGGAUAGCAAUUGGAAGCGCUCUCACCAUGGCCCACCGAAGUCAGCUUAGGUGCUACAAGGGGCAAACUCCGCAGCCGAGACAAAACGUGUGGCUAGGAGUCGGUACGGGUGGUAGAGAGGCUACGGUCGAAGAACGAACUGGAAUUGAAGAACGACACGAAGAGGACACGGAAGAAGUUAACGCUGGAAGCGGCUCUGAUGAAGAACCAUUCAGGGGAUUCCCUAUGGUUUCGGCAAAGGCCAGAAAACGAAACGCGACUUCGGCAGACUUGCCGAACGUGUGUCUACGGCGAUCGAAGAGGAUUCGCCAGCGAAAGGAAGAUCCGGAAUUCGAUUAUUCUUAGUGAAAUUCGAUGUGAUGAAUUUUUUUAAAGUGAAUUGUUCGAAUGAAUUUUGUUUAUAUUUGAUAAUUUCAAGUUCUGAUUUUUUAUAUGAAUACUAUUGUAUUAAUUUCAAGGGGGGACAGCUGUUGUGUCACCCACACCAAACACCUAAUAAUUGUACAUACCUUAAGUUAAAACACCUUGAUAAAACGUCAAACAAUGUAACUGAUGUAACACCUCGAGCUCUCGAGAUAAACAGUGAAUAAACACUCGUUCUCUUUUCAUCUGGACCACCGACCAAG